GUUUGUUCUCUGAAUUCACAGCCUGCCAGAAAUGUUUGAACUAAUAGCAACAAGAAUGAAACAUCUCAUUCUUUCCUAGGUCAUCUAAAUUACUUUGACACAAAGAAGCAGCUCAAUUUAAAGCUCAAGCUUCAGGAAAGGGAGCCCAUCAGAAUCCUGAAGGAACCAUUCCAGAACUUAUGAAGCAAAUGAAUCUGAGCAGCAGAAAGGGUGGACCACAGUGGAGGCUGGUGUCCAGAUUCACCGCUUCAGGACUAAAGCACUUAUUUCCUAAGCUGCUGGGUGUGCUGACAGCUGACAACUCUAAUCUGAAUUCCUCUCUGAGAACCAAUUUUGGCUGAAGUCAGUCACCACAUCCAAACUCAUGCCUUAUUCCUGGUAAAGGUGGGACUAUAUAGGUCCAGACAACUUGCCUCAAUAGAGAACAUCUCUGCAGAGCCAUCCUAGCUUGAGCUCCCUGUGGGACUGACCUUUAUUCAGACUGUAUCACCUCAACUUCUUUUACCCAAUCCUGCUUCCUUCACUCCCCCAUGGGUGUUGAUCCAGAGGAUCCCCCUCCUAUAAACUUUCUGCAUGCAAGAAAAAAAAGAGAGAAAAAAGGAGAAAAAAGCAGACAAUAAUUUUUAUUCAUGUGCUUAAAAAGUUGUAAAAUCACCCAAGGAAGCACAUAAGUUGUCAGUAUGUGAACAAUGUUGGAAACAUUUUAUUUUGUCUGAUUUCCUUUGGGAGAAUUCAUUGCCAGCUAUAAAUCUGUGGAAACGCUGCCACACAAUCUUAGCACACAAGAUUGGCAGAAAAUCGCUUAGAAACACUGAAAACAUGUGACAAAGUGCUUUCCGUGAAAAGGGUGGAUGCGAAGCAGUAAGGACCCCCUUCAUGAAGCACGCGGUCACCCUCCAGCCACCAGAACCAGAGGAACGCUGUGGUAACUGAGGGAAAACGCAUCUAGGCACACGUCACGGUGGCACCUUCCAGCAGGUCCCCGGGGUUGUGCCCCUGGAGCUCUGACAAAGAGUGUGGCCCGGAAAUGUGAUGUUUGGACUGCAAGUUUUGGUGAGAAAUAACAAUGCAUCAGGUUGCAGACAAAGCAGACCCUGCUCUGUGCGUUUAUGGGAGCCGCGCCCAACAGGAACCACAGGGAAUGAUCGAAAGGAGAGGGACGGACACAAACAGACACACCAGAGAGAGGUUCUCAGGAGGAGGCUCUGUGGCCUCCAGACCACGUCAAAGCCAAGGCAGAAAGGAUGAACUGAGGAAAGGAGGAAAAUUUCCCCUUAAGGAAGGUAAAAUCCAGAAGGGAUCCCUAAAAUGGUGAGCAGUUUAAACCUAGCAGUUUUGCAUUAAUUCACAUAAAGUAUAAUGAAAACUGUUGGACACACAAGGAGAGACUGGCCAAUCUAUAGUCACAGAGGAAGACCUUCACACCCCUUCACAGGAUCUCGCAGCAGAUUGGCUGAAAAGUCUCCUUGAAACUGCAGACCUCUCUCAAGGAGACCCACUGAGUUGGGCAAAGGUGGGGCCGACUUAAUUCUUGCCUCCCUGCUCUCCCACGUAGCCCUGCAUUUCACUCCAUUCCAGGGUUUCUGGGACACCCGAGAAAGCACGUAGUCCAGGGAGCACGUCUGCCAACUGAAGGCCUUGACAAAUGACUUUCUGUACUGGCUGAGGGCCAGGGCCCAGCGUACUGAUAAGGAAGCUCUUCCAGAAAAAAGUUGGGACAAAGGCAUAUUAGUGAGUGGACACAAACUAGAAAAAUCUCCAAGUAAUACGUUAAUGCCAACAGAAAGCAUCCAUCUUGAAGGAAGCACAAACCAACAACACAUAUAAAAAUGACUCUGGCAAUUCACAUCAGCUAGCCUCUGCAUAGGCCAUCGCAGUACUGGCAAGACAUGAGCUAAGUGGCUACAGCAGCAGGGAGAGAAUUAAUGCAUGGACCCAAAAGCGUGGCUUCCCACUGACUAAGGCUGAUCUAGCUACUGUUGCCACCAAAGUCCAACCUGCCAGCAACAAAAAUCAAUGCUGAGCUCCCAAUAUGCCAUAUUGGGCCCAACCCCUGGGCCCCUGACCAGUACUGGUCUGUGGCCUGUUAGGAAUGGGGUCACAUAGCAGGAAGUGAGCAGCAGGCAGGGAGCAAAGCUUCAUCUGUAUUUACAGCGGCUCCCCAUCACUUGCAUUACCGCCUGGGCUCUGCCUCCUGUGAGAUCAGCUGCUGCAUUAGAUUCUCAUAGGAGUGCGAAUGCUACUGUGAACUGCAUAUGCAAGGGAUCUAGGUUUUGUGCUCCUUAUGAGAACCUAACUAAUGCCGCAUGAUCUGAGGCGGACAGUUUCAUGCCGUAACCAUUCCCAACAACCCCAAAGUCUCUGGAAAAAUUAUCUUCCACGAAACCAGUCCCUGGUGCCAAAAAGGUUGGGGAUUGCUGCAAUAUGGUAUUGUCCAUCACAGAGACAAACCAGCUUCUCGGUGGCCAGACACACUGAACUCCUUCCAUCCUAGAAAGGACAGGACUUCAUUGUGAUACCUAAUCUUGGCGUAACUUAGCCUUUCCUCCCUUCAGGGCCUUAGCCAGCACCACUAUCUGAAAUCUUACAGAGGAUUUGAUUCACUGAUGUGGAAUUCCAUAUAGCACCGUGUAGACCUGGGGAAUCAUUGUACAGCAAAAGAGAUGAGGGAGUGGGUCCACAACCAGGCACAGGUAGAACUCCAGCUUGGAGGCAGGUCUCUGUGAGGAUGGAGGGCCAGCCUCCAAGGUGCUGUAUAUGUAUGAAUUCAAAGAUGAUUCUGUGUCCCCACUAAGAAGAUUACAUGGGGUUUGGGAAUCAAAGAGUGGCAGCAAAAGAACUCUGAUUAGCACCCCCGCCAAUGAGCCACGUGGGGAGUCUCUGCCGCCCCUCCCUGCAGCUCUGGGACCCGCAGCAGAAAGGCCCCUGCAGCAGAAAGGCAAGAGUAUACGGCGGGUGCCACCUGGCCCCGCCAGGCUAACCCAGGGCAAUGCAGAGCAGUGGCAGGGAGAGGGGGUGAGGGGGAAGAAUGGCAGGGGCUGGGGGUGCCAUCACGCCCAGGGCGCGGGCAGGAGCGUGCAGCUGAGCCCUGAACCCACGACGACCUGGAGCUGAGCAGCAAGAGGGUGAGGGGCGCCCGGAUGGCAGUCUAGGAAAGAACUCCCCAGUCCCAGCCAUUGGGUGUGGGAAGUCAGCCUUCACCUCCGCUGAGGUGUGCGCCGGGAUUGCCCCAGAGGAAUGUUGCCUGUGGGGGCCACGCACCUUCCUUCCCAAGACAGACCACGCCCCUCUACCAGGGCAUGCCCCGCCCAUUUCCAGGACAGGCCCCACCCCCUCUCUGGGCAGACCACGCCUCUUCCCAGCGCCGACUCUGCCCUGUCCCAGGAUGGACAGCACUUCAUGAGUGCUCAGUGCAGGGACACAGAGGCCUGGACAUGUUGGUCCAACCUGGAAGGUUCAUUCCAGCUCCAGAGCUCCCUGUAAGAUCCAGCAAGGCUGUCCUGGAGCCUACCCGGCAGCGCGCUUCUCCCUCUGCCUAUCCCUGAUUCCUCAGGUGUUGAUCCCAAGAACACUCCAAAUAAAAUUCCUGCAUGUUAAUCUUCAUCUCAGAGUCUACAUCUAGGGAACACAACCAGUAACAUUAAUUUUUUUUUUUUUUUUUUUGAGACGGAGUCUCGCUCUGUCGCCCAGGCCGGACUGCGGACUGCAGUGGCGCAAUCUCGGCUCACUGCAAGAACAUUAAUUUAUAUUUAAACAUACUCUAAUGUCAUCUACCUCUAAAAAUUUCCAUGGCACUAGUCUUAACAUAAGCCUAUGUAGUUUUCAGUCAUUUAACAUUAUUAUGCCCUUCCACAUUCACCAACUCAUCCCUAGUUUGCUACCUUUCUCCUUUUUCCAUAUCAUAUCCUUGGUUCCACUACGUCUAUCCUACCCCCUCUCUGUGCAGUUUCCAUUGAUUUCUAAGGUAUUUCAACAUAAGUUACCACAGUGCUUUCACUUUAAAUGUUUCUGAUUAAAGGCCAGACCCAAUGGCUCACAUCUGUAAUCCCAGCACUUUGGGAGGCCGAGGCGGGAGGAUCACCUGAGGUCAGGAGUUCGACACCAGCCGGGCCAACAUGAAGAAACCCUGUCUACUAAAAAUACAAAAAUUAGCUGGGCGUGGUGGGGCAUGCCUGUAAUGCCAGCUACUCAGGAGGCUGAGGCAGGAGAAUCGCUUGAACACGGGAGGCAGAGGUUGCAGUGAGCCGAGAUCAUGCCACUGCACUCCAGCCUGGGGGAUAGAGUUAGACUCUGUCUCAAAAAAUAAAUAAAUAAAUAAAUAAAUAAAUGUUUCUGACUAAAAUGAAGAUAUAAGACACAUAUAAAAUAUGUUAUAGAGCAAUAGAUUGGAAGAUCAGAGAGGGAACAGGAUCAAGAGCACACAGAAACACUUUUUCCCUCUCUGAGGGAAGAGUGAAAACACAUAAUUGAUGGAGAAACAAGAUUGUGAGACAGAAAAACAAAAAGGCCUAGGCCCUAGGUCAAGUAUAUGUGAUUCAGGACAGGACUCUAUUCAAAGGGAAUAACUAGAUGUUCCUAAGAGCAUUAACACCCUCCAAGUGUGUGAUUCAGUUCUGAGAUGAACCUAUUACAGGACAAUAUCCAGCUCCCCAGCCUGAGACCUUUGCCAUUUGAGUGAAUAUUUUCCACGCUGGCAGAAACAUGUGAUUUAUUUGCCUGUCUCACUUUCAGGCAAAUCUGCAUAGUAAAUGACAAAAUGUUCCAGGGUUCCUGGGUUUUACUCCUUCCUAACUUUUGUGGGGUUUUGUUUGUGUAUUUCCUUUGGGAUUCAAUAUAGAAAUCCUGCCAAAUAUAUUUGGCAACCAUUGUCCUUGACAUGAACUGUUCUUUCACAUUUUAUCUAAAACUAAUCGGAAAACCUAUUAUAUUCCCUGACCUGUGGUUAGAAGAAACUGAGCAGCUGCGGGAACAGAUAAUAUAAAACUGAAUUUUCCCAGCUGUUUAUUUCAAACCUUGGCAGAGGCUGUCAGGAUGUGUCCAGAGUCAGCUUAUCCUGUUAAUCAGCAUCAAAAUAAUCUAAAGUAUAAAAGGGUUUCAUUAAAAUAAAAAUUCUAUCAACUUUUUUCUGGUAAAUACAUGUGACUGCCUAUACAAUAACAGAAAGCUAGAUAAUAAAUUAAUGAUGUAUUCCAUUCAAUUCAAUUUUAUACUCAAACUAUUAUUCUCUGUGCCUCAGGCUGCAUGCUAGAUGGACACUAAUAUACACAGUGUAUUAAGUAAAAUUAUCUCAAUAUUAAUUGUUAACAGGGCUAACUUUAAUGGAUAAAUGGUUGUUUAGUUAGAUGCCAGGCUACUGACAACCUGGGCCUCUACUUUCAAGGUCACUAACAUUGCUCAUCUGCAGGCUAUAUAGGCUGUAGAACGAACUUGGAUCCCCUCCUCACACCAUAUACCAAAAUUAACUCCAAGUGGAUCAAUGACCUCAAUGUAAGAACUAAAACUAUAAAAGUCUCAAAAGAAAAUAUAGGUUUAAAUCUUAGUGAUCUUUGAUUUGACAUUGAUUUCUUAGAUAUGACAACAAAAAUACAAGCAACCAAAGGGGUAAAAUAAAUAAAUAUUGGAUUUCAUCAAAAUGAAAAACUUUGUGCAUCACAGGAUACUAUUAGGAAAGUGAAAAUACUACCCACAGAAUGGGAAAAAAUAUUUUCAUGUCAUAGCUCUGAUAAGGGUAUAAUAUUAAGAAUAAAUAAAGAACUUAUACAACUCAGUACUAAAAAACAAAUAAUCCAAUUAAAAACACGCAAAGCAUUUAAAUAGACAUUUCUCCAAAGGAGAUACACAAAUGGUCAAUAAACACAUGAAAAGACUCUCAACAACGUAAGUCAUCAGGGAAAUGCAAAUCCAAACUACAAUGAGAUAUCACUUUAUCCACACUAGGAUGAGUAUAAUUAAAAAGACAGACAGUAACAAGUGUUGAUAAGAAUAUGGAAAAAUUGGAACACUCAUACUUUGGUAGUGAAAAUGUAAAAUGGUGCAGCUGCUUUGAAAAAGUCUGGCAGUUCCUCUAAAAGUUAAACAUAGAAUUACCAUGUGACCUAGCAAUUAUAUUCCUAAGUAUAUUCCGAAGAGAAAUAAAAGCAUAUGUACACAAAGACUUGUACAUGAAUGUUCUAUAGCAGCAUUAUUCAUAAUAGCCAAAAGGGGAAACAAUCCAAAAGUCCAUCAACAGAUGAAUGGAUAAACAAAAUGUGGUCUAUCCAUACAAUGGAGUAUUAUUCAGCCAUAAAAAGGAGUUAAAUUCUGAUACAUACUACAACAUGGAAGAUUUUUUUAAAUUAAAAAAUGAAAAUAGUUUCAUUCUUACUAUAUCUUUAUUUUCUUAUUUUAACUCCUCUAUCAUUCUGCAAAAAUGGAAGAAUCUUGAAAACAUGCUAAGCAAAAGAUGCUAGACACAAAAGGCCACAUAUUUUAUCCCUUCAUUUACAUGAAAUAUCCAGAAUAGGCAAAACCACAGUGACGGAAAGUAGGUUAAUGGUUGCCAGGGGCUGGGGAAAGGAAGAAAAUUAGAAGUGACUGUUUAAUGAUUACAGGGUUUCUUUUUGAGGUGAUGAAAAUAUUCUGGAAUUAAAUAAAGAUGAUAGUUGUACACUUUACGGAUUCACUAAAAACCACUGAAUUGUACACUUUCAAAUGGUGAAUUUUAUGAUAUGUAAAGUAUAUGUCAAUAAAAAUGUGGAGAUUUAGGAAAGGAAAAGAAUCUCCACACUGAAAAUAAGUGAUUUUUACAGUAUGUAAAUCAUACCUCCAAGGAGUGAAAAAAUGGUAAGGAAAUAUUCUGAACUUUAUACUAUUAAAUUCAACAGCUCAGAUGGAAUUUCUUUUCUUUUUUUGAGACAGAGCCUUGC
rnacentral:lncRNA from 1 species